rnacentral:rRNA from 1 species
CGUACGCACUGGCCCAACUGAUCGAUGGUGCUUGCACCUGAUUGACGUUGGAUCACCAGUGAGUGGCGGACGGGUGAGUAACACGUAGGUAACCUGCCCCGGAGCGGGGGAUAACAUUUGGAAACAGAUGCUAAUACCGCAUAACAACAAAAGCCACAUGACUUUUGUUUGAAAGAUGGCUUUAGCUAUCACUCUGGGAUGGACCUGCGGUGCAUUAGCUAGUUGGUAAGGUAACGGCUUACCAAGGCGAUGAUGCAUAGCCGAGUUGAGAGACUGAUCGGCCACAAUGGAACUGAGACACGGUCCAUACUCCUACGGGAGGCAGCAGUAGGGAAUCUUCCACAAUGGGCGCAAGCCUGAUGGAGCAAGCCGCGCGCGACUGAAGAAGGGUUUCGGCUCGUAAAGCUCUGUUGUCGGAGAAGAACGCGCGUGAGAGUAACUGUUCACGCAGUGACGGAAUCCAACCAGAAAGUCACGGCUAACUACGUGCCAGCAGCCGCGGUAAUACGUAGGUGGCAAGCGUUAUCCGGAUUUAUUGGGCGUAAAGCGAGCGCAGGCGGUUGCUUAGGUCUGAUGUGAAAGCCUUUGGCUUAACCGAAGAAGUGCAUCGGAAACCGGGCGACUUGAGUGCAGAAGAGGACAGCGGAACUCCAUGUGUAGCGGUGGAAUGCGUAGAUAUCUGGAGGAACACCAGUGGCGAAGGCGGCUGUCUGGUCUGCAACUGAC